rnacentral:rRNA from 1 species
GAUCAUUCACAGAGUUCAUGCCCUUACGGGUAGAUCUCCCACCCUAUGUUAUCAUUACUUUGUUGCUUUGGCGGGCCGUCAGGCUCACGCCCGGCUACCGGCUUCGGCUGGUAAGCGCCCGCCAGAGGACCCAAAACCCUGAAUAUUAGUGUCGUCUGAGUACUAUAUAAUAGUUAAAACUUUCAACAACGGAUCUCUUGGUUCUGGCAUCGAUGAAGAACGCAGCGAAAUGCGAUAAGUAAUGUGAAUUGCAGAAUUCAGUGAAUCAUCGAAUCUUUGAACGCACAUUGCGCCCCUUGGUAUUCCGGGGGGCAUGCCUGUUCGAGCGUCAUUACAACCCUCAAGCCUAGCUUGGUAUUGGGCCUCGCCACUAACCUGGCGGGCCUUAAAAUUAGUGGCGGUGCCGUCGUGGCCCUGAGCGUAGUAAAUAUCCUCGCUAUAGGGACCCGGCGGUUACUGGCCAGCAACCCCCAACUUUUCUAAGUUUGACCUCGGAUCAGGUAGGGAUACCCGC